CAAUCUCAGUGUAGUUGAGACAAUUCGUACCAAAACUUGUGACAACUCUUUCUUUGGAUCAAUCUUGUCAGAUUGUUUAGAAAUUCUUAAGGACUUGAGGUCCCAUUAUGUGUAUUUUGUGAGACGAUCAGCGAAUUCAGCGGCUCAUUCGAUAGCAAGGGUAGCUAGUUCUAUGACUGAUCGUGAGGGGUGGUUCCAAAUUCCCUCCUUCCUUAUCGAUGUACUGGAUCAAGACUUGAG
rnacentral:lncRNA from 1 species